ACUCAAAGGAAUUGACGGGGACCCGCACAAGCGGUGGAUUAUGUGGAUUAAUUCGAUGCAACGCGAAAAACCUUACCUACCCUUGACAUGUCCGGAAGGCUGCUGAAAGGCGGCUGUGCCCGAAAGGGAACUGGAACACAGGUGCUGCAUGGCUGUCGUCAGCUCGUGUCGUGAGAUGUUGGGUUAAGUCCCGCAACGAGCGCAACCCUUGUCAUUAGUUGCUACAUUCAGUUGGGCACUCUAAUGAGACUGCCGGUGACAAACCGGAGGAAGGUGGGGAUGACGUCAAGUCCUCAUGGCCCUUAUGGGUAGGGCUUCACACGUAAUACAAUGGCGCGUACAGAGGGCUGCUAAGCCGCGAGGUAGAGCCAAUCCCUUAAAGCGCGUCGUAGUCCGGAUUGCAGUCUGCAACUCGACUGCAUGAAGUCGGAAUCGCUAGUAAUCGCGGAUCAGCAUGUCGCGGUGAAUACGUUCCCGGGUCUUGUACACACCGCCCGU
rnacentral:rRNA from 1 species